AAGUUCAGUUGGUUUUAAUGUCAGUGGAUGACUCCUCAGCUGAUUGAUAACAGCAGUGUAUGUUGUCACUCAUGUUGAACCGUGGCCACGGUGUGGCUCUGCACCAAUCAAGGACAAAUAAUAUUUCAAAUGAAGAAGCAAUCACUAGCACUGGUCACAGUUAACGUGGAUUAUCUUUGUUACAAAUACGUUCCAUAGACUGCAUAUUAACACGGAAAGAGAAUCACA